rnacentral:lncRNA from 1 species
ACCAGCCAGGUUUGAUAAAUGAGUUAUAUUUUCUAUUUUUCAGGUAGAUACACCAAGGAAAGCAUCUUUUCAAGAAAUUUACAGCUUACCUGCUUAGAAUGCCUAGAAUUAAGAAUACAUCUGACACUGAUGAGCUUUUCUUGUACUACUUGGUUUGGAGGGUUGACAUGACACCCCAAGUGGGAAAUUCUACACCUGACCUC